rnacentral:misc_RNA from 1 species
UCACUAAUCAAGCUCGGCUUGUUGUUGGGCCUUUUGUCGUUAAAAGACUGGUCCCAAAGAUAAUGACGGUGUUAUUAGAACCCUAGAUGCAACGAGCUUUAACCAGCACGCAUGUUAGUGAUCUUUUAACCCGGCCUGGUUUCACCAAUUUAAA